UCAAGUGGUCAUAUGUUUUAUAUAUUUUAAAAUAUAGCCCUGGUGCUCACACAUGUAUAUUAAUAACUAAAAAUGACAAUGUUAAUGAUAGGUAACUUUAUAUGCUGUAUAUUGUCAGGCACAAGCCCUUUUCGGACAAGGUGGUAACUCACUUAAUUCUCAAGCUUUGCGAAGUGAGUCCUUUUUAUCACCAAUCUAGGCAGAAAGAAGUGGGCAAUUUGACGGAGUCUGCAAAGCUGAUAAAGGGACAGCUACCGGAGCAGCUCCCCAGCUGCAAGGCUAAUGGAAUUUCUCUAUGGGCGUAACAGUUAGUCUGCGUCAACCAUAGUGGAUGAGCCCUGGCCAGGGUCCUCUGGCAACUGGCAAUGCAUGUAAGGCUGAGGGCAAUGGUGACCUGACCGGGGUCCAUACCAGUUGGCAGCAGUACUCGGUUCCUCCUCGCCGGAGGUAUGGUGCUGUCCUCCCAGACUUGGGUACUACUGGAUGCUGUAUGACACAUCGUAGAUUUCAGGGACAGCACGGUCAGGAUUGCCCCACUCACGGAAAGGAAUACAAAGUCCAGACCAGAAAGUCCGAUAAUGGGAACGAAAGAGACAGCAAGGACAGGAAGACAUCAGGGACAGGGCUUAGGUUUGCUUCAUUUGGGGGAUAUUGGUACUUGCACUCCUGCCACUGAGGCUAGCGAUGAAACACGUGCGAGCUGAUUGCCAUGACUGACUCUCUUUAUGAGGCGAGCAUAUGCCCAUGAGUUUUAACAUAUGCCCAAGACUCCCAGAGGCUUUAUUCCUUAAAAAAAAAAAAUUCAUAUUUUUAAACUGGAAGAUCUCAACUAUUUGUUGCUUGAUAGUGUUCACUGAUAUAUAAAAACAAUCACAUUUAAACAGGGGAAAAAUACGAAAUGAAUGAGUGAGGAAAAUAAACAUAUCAAUUAUUAAUUGCUUAUUUCA
rnacentral:lncRNA from 1 species